AUUGAACGCUGGCGGCAGGCCUAACACAUGCAAGUCGAGCGAGCGGCGGACGGGUGAGUAAUGUAUGGGGACUGCCCGAUAGAGGGGGAUAACUACUGGAAACGGUGGCUAAUACCGCAUACGAUCGGAUAACCCAUAUGGGAUUAGCUAGUAGGUGGGGUAAAGGCUCACCUAGGCGACGAUCCCUAGCUGGUCUGAGAGGAUGAUCAGCCAAACUGGGACGGAGAAACAGCCCAGACCCCGAGUGAAGCAGCAGUGGGGAAUAUUGCACAAUGGGCUCAAGCCUAAUGCAGCCAUGCCGCGGGUAUGAAGAAGGACUUAGGGUUGUAGAGUACUUUCAGCGAGGAGGCGUUACCCGCAGAAGAAGCACCGGCUAACUACGUGCCAGCAGCCGCGGUAAUAC
rnacentral:rRNA from 1 species